UCUUGUCAUGUGUUCUCUUUUUUUUUUUUUUUGUGGAGACGGCGUUGGAGACAUCCUAUCUCCAACGCCGUCUCCACAAAAAAAAAAAAAACAUGUACGAAAUAAACUUU
rnacentral:pre_miRNA from 1 species